AGUGAACGCUGGCGGUAUGCCUAACACAUGCAAGUCGAACGGCAGCACAGGAGAGCCUGCUCUCUGGGUGGCGAGUGGCGGACGGGUGAGGAAUACAUCGGAACCUACGUUUUCGUGGGGGAUGACGUAGGGAAACUUACGCUACUACCGCAUACGACCUAAGGGUGGAAGCAGGGGACCUUCGGGCCUUGCGCGAUUGAAUGAGCCGAUGUCGGAUUAGGUAGUUGGCGGGGUAAAGGCCCACCAAGGCGACGAUCCGUAGCUGGUCUGAGAGGAUGAUCAGCCACACUGGAACUGGGACACGGUCCAGACUCCUACGGGAGGCAGCAGUGGGGAAUAUUGGACAAUGGGCGCAAGCCUGAUCCAGCCAUACCGCGUGGGUGAAGAAGGCCUUCGGGUUGUAAAGCCCUUUUGUUGGGAAAGAAAUCCAGCUGGCUAAUACCCGGUUGGGAUGACGGUACCCAAAGGAUAAGCACCGGCUAACUUCGUGCCAGCCGCCGCCGUAA
rnacentral:rRNA from 1 species